UUCGUUCCUGGAUGGUGGAAUAAUUUCGAAAACAGUUUCAAUUACUUUACCACAUAAUAAUUCAAAUACCUUGACCAACAGCUUUUCAACCCACAAUGUAAAUAAUAUAUGGACAUUUAUAUCUGGAAACAAAGAAAAGAUCAGCAAUAAAAAGACUGAGGGAUUCUCGAUGCUGAAUUCGGCAGUACCACCGUUGAGGACAAUUAACCACUGGAAAGGAUCGAUACGGAUUCCAUACCUAUGAUGGUGUUCAGUGUUGAGAAUAACUUGUUAGUUGUUAUUUUGACAAGCAAAGUUGCAACAACAAAAAAAUGAUAAAAAGUAAUCAUAAUUUUUAAAAAUUAAUAACAUGCUCAUUUACUUGAGUAAAUUUUCCAAUGAGAGUCUGAGUCCCCCCAUCAGCAGCAGCAGGAAACCCCAGUUGACAAGUCCUGUAAAGUCACGAAACUCAGAAGACCAUGAGAAUAAUGAAUCUCUAGGCCUAUGACACCUACAUACAACAUAAAAAAUUUAGCACCAAUAGAUAAAAUAAAGGUGAGUAUUCUAAUUCGCAACAAAAAAAAUUUAUUAAAUUUCUUUUACGGUUUAUCUGGUUGUGAUUUCCUGACUUUUUCAGCUUCUUUUGUGAUUUCUUCUGCCCUAGCUACAGAUUUGGUUCUUCUCAAUCUUAAAUUUUGCUUUCGGCUAUCCUCGAAAAGGUAUGUGACAGUCUUUUUGCCAUCUACGUCAUCUGUUGAAACACUUGUUAUUGUUGUUGUUGAUGUCGGUUCUGAGGGCAACAUUCUGACUUCUCCCUCACUUGGAGGUAGCAUUUUGUUUUUGGACCUGUUUGCCAACAGAACACAUAUUUGGGCAUAAAUUCAAGUUGAACUGUUGCUAAAUAUUACAAGGUUAAAAAUUUAAAACAUGACACUCACUUGUGUGUCUAGAAGAAGAGAAUAAAGGUGACGUAAUAACGCUGAUAAUGUGAAAAUCGUUCGCCAGCGAAGUGGACGUGUUAUUGGAGAAUUUCGACGAACAGCAAUAAAUGCCUUUUAAUUUUGAGACGACGUUAUAGAAUGACUAAUCUUUUUUGAGAUCAAUAAGUUGUUGACUCGUCUCCUCGCCGAUCCAUGGAACUAGAAAGAUAAUAUCGGUAUGUAAAUAGUAAACAACGGGUCGUCUUCAGGAUAACUUCUCCAGGGUCGACAACUUUAUUUCGAUAACAUUUGCUGAUUCUUCAAAACUUGGGAUUGGGAUAGGAAGAACUGUGUUAAUAUAGGUUAAAUGUUUCAGAAUGUGAAAGAAUGAAUGUGUUAGAAUUUUAAAAUGUUUUGAACGUACAAGUUUUGACAAACAUUGAGUUUCUGUGCUUUAAAAAGGAAGUUAAAAAUAACGGUUCAAGUAGUAUAACUCGUCAUCUUUCUUUUGAUAAGAUAUUAUGUUAUCCUACCCUGUGUUUUCUUGUUGUUGAAACAAAAAUGUGUUUUUGGUUUGCGGUCGUCGAUGGCUUUGGUUUAUAGCAAUCUUCGUCUAAAUAGUGAUAAUGACUCUGCACAAUAUGACUGUAUUUUGAACAACAAAGACAAUUAAAUCACAUAAAUACAAGA